GCACCUCCUCCAUUCCACACUCCGGCAAGAUUGAAGGACGCUCGGCGUAGGAGUUCCAGAGAGAACGUUCGACUGGUGAAGCUGUGGAUUAACGAGCGCUUGUUAUUGGAAUUUGAGUAGAGAAUCUGUGAACGUUCGUCAUUUCCGGAGGGAGAUGAGCGUUUGGAAGAAGCAUUGAAUGAAGAGAGCCUGGUUGAUGUUGAAGUGAAGAUCGAGCAGUGAGAUCGCUCGGCCAGUAUUGUAUUUAGUUGAAUUGAGUGGUCGUUCGACCAUCUCUUGUUUUCUUUUGAGUUAAUUCGACCGUUCAGUAAUUAUCCUGUGUAAACCGUUCGGUCAGGUUUCUUGUACGUUUAUCUUAAAUUUGUAAAACUCUUAUGUGUGGCGUGCGACUUUUGCACAUUCGUCCGUUAUGUUGGAUUUGUACUCAAGGACGUUCGUCCUUGAGCGUUCGUUCGGGUUUUAUUUUGUUUUUAGUUGGAAAACUGUAUUGAAAUAUUAUUAAAUGUGAUUUUCUGAUUUUAUGGUGUUA